UACGGAGGAUCCAAGCGUUAUCCGGAAUCAUUGGGUUUAAAGGGUCCGUAGGCGGUUUAGUAAGUCAGUGGUGAAAGCCCAUCGCUCAACGGUGGAACGGCCAUUGAUACUGCUAAACUUGAAUUAUUAGGAAGUAACUAGAAUAUGUAGUGUAGCGGUGAAAUGCUUAGAGAUUACAUGGAAUACCAAUUGCGAAGGCAGGUUACUACUAAUAUAUUGACGCUGAUGGACGAAAGCGUGGGUAGCGAACAGG
rnacentral:rRNA from 1 species